rnacentral:rRNA from 1 species
UACGUAGGGUGCAAGCGUUGUCCGGAAUUAUUGGGCGUAAAGAGCUCGUAGGCGGUUUGUCGCGUCUGCUGUGAAAACUCAGGGCUUAACCCUGAGCCUGCAGUGGGUACGGGCAGGCUAGAGUUCGGUAGGGGAGACUGGAAUUCCUGGUGUAGCGGUGGAAUGCGCAGAUAUCAGGAGGAACACCGGUGGCGAAGGCGGGUCUCUGGGCCGUUACUGACGCUGAGGAGCGAAAGCGUGGGGAGCGAACAGG